rnacentral:rRNA from 1 species
GAUGAACGCUGGCGGCGUGCCUAAUACAUGCAAGUCGAACGCUUCACUUCGGUGAAGAGUGGCGUACGGGUGAGUAAUACCUAAGUAACCUGGCAUCUACAGGGGGAUAACUGAUGGAAACGACAGCUAAGACCGCAUAGGUGUAGAGAUCGCAUGAACUCUAUAUGAAAAGUGCUACGGGACUGGUAGAUGUUGUACUUCUGGCGCAUUAGCUUGUUGGUAGGGUAACGGCCUACCAAGGCGACGAUGCGUAGCCGACCUGAGAGGGUGACCGGCCACACUGGGACUGAGACACGGCCCAGACUCCUACGGGAGGCAGCAGUAGGGAAUUUUCGGCAAUGGGGGAAACCCUGACCGAGCAACGCCGCGUGAAGGAAGAAGUAAUUCGUUAUGUAAACUUCUGUCAUAGAGGAAGAACGGUGGAUAUAGGGAAUGAUAUCCAAGUGACGGUACUCUAUAAGAAAGCCACGGCUAACUACGUG